UGGGCGUUGACGCGAUAACUAACUCUCCCUAUAUUGACUGUAAACGUCAUACACCCAGAACUGAUGACAUCUCAAAUUUACUUUAAAAAAACAAACAACAUAUAGAAACAACCUAUCUUGCUGGGUAUUUCUGUAUUUGUGUGACUUCGCUAGAUCGAGCAGGCACAUUUUUGGGCAAGGCUUUUCAUAGAUUUCAGUGAAACAGGUUUUACGUUUGUUCUCAGUGACCAAUCACAAUAUCGUGGUCAUCCAAACCAACUUUUAUUAACACCGUACGGCCAAUCAGUGAGCGAUUUCAACUGUACUAUAUUAUUCUUCGGAAUUUAUUAGAAUCCACAUCUUACUUACACCACUUUUGGCAUAUUCUCCUUCACAGCACACAAUACUUUCGUGAGGAGUAACGAUAGGGGCGUAGCCUAGAACCUGUAUAGAAUCCUGUAAUGCAUCUCUGUUUAUAAGGAUUUUUGUGCAGUUUUUUCUUAAUCCAGUUCUUUUUUUUCACUUUAAACAUAAGUGCAUGUAUAGUGUAUACAUAUACAUGUAUGUAUUAUUGAAAUAAUUCCACCGUAUUGAGUGUCCCGCGAAUAUCAGUCUAAGUGAAAGUGAUAACCAUAAUACAUUCAUUGUGAUCGUUCUACUACAUGUGGAAUCAUAUAAAAUGGGAUGGCCUACUAAACGAAUACAUGCAUGGUGAUUAAUUAGAAAUAGCUUGCCAAAAAAUGGGGAGACUAUACGUACUUUCUUACACACGUGCGUUACAACACUCGCAGCCACAGACACUAAGUGACCCUGGUUUCAGAUAUAAAGUUCCUAGACAGAGAAUGCUGUACAGUCAAUUUUGUCUCCUAUUAUGAAAUGUCGCAUUAGUGCAAACUGAAAACUGUACAUUGACAUUUUCAUCAUCUGUGUAUCAUUUUUAUUGCCUUUAUAUUUUCUUUCUUUACAUACACAUAUAUAUAUAUAUGUCUGCUCUGACGGAAUCUAAAUAUCCUCUGAUGUGACCUUGAAUGGACCUUAAUGUAAAAACAAGAACCUUGAAACACGGGGUUUUUUGGGUGUAAGAAUGCGGAAUUAAAGAUAACAUGGUGCACUUGGCAUUGACAUAAUGUCGUGUCUUUUUACGGAUAGAUUCUUUUCAUAUUCAUGUGAUAUUUUGUAUGCAAUAACCAUGUAAAGAAAGCAUUGUACUGACAUUCAGAAAAGUGGCCGGCUGUGGCAGUUUUCUUCAUUUUACUAUUAUUAUACUAUGGUAUUUACAUUUCCUAGAUAUUUUUGUAAUUGGUCGUUUAUUUUCAGCUUUGGUGUAAUUAUUAUGCAUGUUGAGUUUGUUAUAAUGC